rnacentral:rRNA from 1 species
UACGGGGGGAGCAAGCGUUGUUCGGAUUUACUGGGCGUAAAGGGCGCGUAGGCGGCGUGACAAGUCACUUGUGAAAUCUCCGGGCUUAACUCGGAACGGUCAAGUGAUACUGUCGUGCUAGAGUACAGAAGGGGCAACUGGAAUUCUCGGUGUAGCGGUGAAAUGCGUAGAUAUCGAGAGGAACAUCUGCGGCGAAGGCGGGUUGCUGGGCUGAUACUGACGCUGAGGCGCGAAAGCCAGGGGAGCGAACGGG